GUAGGUGGCUAGCGUUGUCCGGAAUUAUUGGGCGUAAAGCGCGCGCAGGCGGUUCUUUAAGUCUGAUGUGAAAGCCCACGGCUCAACCGUGGAGGGUCAUUGGAAACUGGAGAACUUGAGUACAGAAGAGGAAAGCGGAAUUCCACGUGUAGCGGUGAAAUGCGUAGAGAUGUGGAGGAACACCAGUGGCGAAGGCGGCUUUCUGGUCUGUAACUGACGCUGAGGCGCGAAAGCGUGGGGAGCAAACAGGAUUAGAUACCCUGGUAGUCCACGCCGUAAACGAUGAGUGCUAAGUGUUAGGGGGGUUUCCGCCCCCCUUAGUGCUGCAGCUAACGCAUUAAGCACUCCGCCCUGGGAGUACGGCCGCAAGGCUG
rnacentral:rRNA from 1 species